AAUCUGGUCCGCCUCGAAGGCGAGUACCGAUUGCAGCUCUCUAUAUCUGGUAACAGCGUACUGCUGUGCUUAAUUGCGCGGUUGUUUCAGGAAGAGGAGACUCGACUUGAAGGUCGGGGAUAUUUUGGGGAGAAUGGAUUAAUCUCUGUUUUUCACGGGAUAACUCUGGCAAUGUUUUACCUAUUUUACUUUGAAAAAAUUAGAGUGUUCAAAGCAAGGCGUUUUUGCCUAUUGAAUAUUGCAGCAUGGGAUAAUAGAAAAAGAUAGUCCGUCUUAUUUUGUUGGUUUUUUAAGAUGACAAUAAUGAUAGAAGGGGAUGGUUGGGGCGGUCUGUAUUGCCACGUCAGAGGUGAAAUUCUUAGAUUGUGGCAAGACAAACAACUGCGAAAGCAUUCCGCUAGGACAUAUUCAUCAAUCAAGAACGAAAGUUGGGGGAUCGAAGACGAUCAGAUACCGUCGUAGUCUCAACCAUAAACAAUGCCGACCAAGGAUUGGAGAUUGUUAAAUUUUAAUGACUUCCCCAGCACUUUGCGAGAAAUCACAAGUCUUUGGGUUCCGGGGGGAGUAUGGUCGCAAGGCUGAAACUUAAAGGAAUUGACGGAAGGGCACCACCAGGCGUGGAACUUGCGGCUUAAUUUGACCCAACACGGGAAAACUUACCAGGUCCAGACAGCGUUAGGAUUGACAGAUUGAGAGCUCUUUCAUGAUUCGUUGGGUGGUGGUGCAUGGCCGUUCUUAGUUGGUGGUGUGAAUUGUCUGGUUGAUUCCGUUAACGAACGAGACCUUGACUUACUAAAUAGCAGCUGGAAGAUAUUGCAUUAAGGCUAUGGAUCGGUAUUUUCGGAAGGGUCAGUCCCCCGGAGAUAGUUGUUUCCAUGGUUGCUUUUUUUCCAGAAAGCUUCUUAGAGGGACUAUUAGUGACAAGCUAAUGGAAGUUCGAGGCAAAAACAGGUCUGUGAUGCCCUUCGAUGUUCUGGGCCGCACGCGUGUUACACUGAUAAAGUCAACGAGUUUAGAACCUUCUCUGAGAGGAGUGGGUAAUCUUUUCAAACUUUAUCGUGAUGGGGAUAGAUGAUUGCAAUUAUUCAUCUUCAACGAGGAAUGCCUAGUAAGCGCGAUUCAUCAUAUCGCGUUGACUGCGUCCCUGCCCUUUGUACACACCGCCCGUCGCUCCUACCGAUUGAAUGCUCCGGUGAAAUCUUCGGAUUGUGAGAAGCUAACUUUUGCUGACUUUGUCGGCAAAGACUCUUGUAAAAAGUUGAUUAAAUCUUAGCAUUU
rnacentral:rRNA from 1 species